rnacentral:lncRNA from 1 species
UAGAUUAAAAUAAAAUACAUUUUUCAAUUUGAAAUUGAUUUUUUUCUUUUGCAACUUAGGGACUAAUCUUAUCUUACAUUAAGCUAUGGAAUUUGAGGAAUUUGACUUUAAGAAUAUUCAGUUAAUUAAUCAAACGAUUUCUUUUUAAAGCCCCAUUUUCUUUUUCCUAAGGUUCCAUAUACAUGACCUCACAGAAGCAGAAAGAAGAAACACUAGAUAGUGAAAGCUAGGCCCCAUGAUUCAAAAUUGUACACAUAUGUAAAGGCCAUGCAUCUCCUUCCAUAUUAAUUGACACGAAAUAAAACUUUAUCUAACAUACAUAGACUAAUCAUACACAUCGAACAUGGGUUAAUGAGAAUUAAAAUUAAAGUUUGUGUAUGUUUUAAAUGAAACUAAUUUAGCCUUGAUUAGGUAGUGUAUGGUUUUCAUAUUCCUAAAAAAGAAGAAAAUAAUGGGGCAAGCAACAAAUAUGAAUAUAAUAGUAUAGUGGAUGACAUGUGAGUGACGACCAUUUUUGUGAGUGCUCCAAUUAAUUCCAAAGUAAAAAUUUUGAGUACACAACAACACACACGAGGGGGUGAAAGCUGUUUUUCUGUGCAAUGAAGUGUUGCUUUGGCUAGCUACCCUGUUGUCAGUGUUGUUUGUAUCAAAUGUAGUAAAAGUGAAAAACUGGCAAAAGAAAGCCUCCAUUCACAAACAUCCGCUACAAGUCACCACUGAUAUUGCACCAUACAUAGGUCCCCCUCUACUUCAAAUUUUACUUCUUCUUUCAAAUCCCUUUCACUACUUUAGUGCUGCUUUCAUUAUCAGCUAACCAAAAUUCAUUUCUAUUAAGUUCUUUCUAUAUACAAAUUUAUUUUAAAAUAUAUAACUACCAAAAUUAAUAUAUAAAAUAAAAUUUAUACAAUAUUGAAACUUAUGUUGCAUUAUUACAACUACUUAAUUGUUUUUGACGGUAUCAAAACUUUUAAAUUUAAAUGCAUAUUGCGCGACAGACUUUUCUAUAUUAAUAUAUAUAGUUUAAUUUGAUUCGAUAAACUAAAUUAAUUAAUCUUUUUGACACAUUUUUUGACACUACAUAUUGAUUAAAAACUGCCAUCAACCCAGUUGAAAAACAAAAUCUUGACGGCAAAAAUUAAUUCGAAAACGGUGCACCAUGUAUUCGCCAUGCAUUAUAAAAUUCAAAAUUAGUAAAUACAUUAAGGGUAAUAAAGGAAUAAUAGAAAUAUGUAUACACCACGAACCACUAAUUUUUCAGAAUCAUUAGACUUUGCCGUGGAAGCUUCAAUUAUUCCCAGCUUCACUUGGAGCAGCGUAAUUGCUUCACUUUUUUGCAACCAAUUAACAACAUUAGGAAAAAGGCAAAUCGCGUUUAACACUGCAAACGUGAGUUCACUACUUCCAAACGACUACUUAAUUACCACUCCUAAAACCGUAAUUCAUACAUAUUGUAUUUUUCUACUUUCUCCGUGACACAAUAACUAAAGAAAGGUUCAACUUAGCGUGCGUUUGGGUCAACAGUGAUUAAAAUUGAUUUUAUAAAAUUUAUUAUUAUUAAAAGUAAUCUGGAUGUGAAAUAAUUUAUGUAAAAAUGAGUUGAAUGAUAAAUUUUAAUAUAAAAAUCACGUUUAGAUAAAUUUUGGACUAUAAAUGAUUGCUUUAAGUUAGAAUCAAUUCCGGCAACAGAAUCAAUUCUACUCAAUGACACCAAAGCAUGCCAAAAUCAAUUAUUCCUUUUUAAAAUUAAUUUUGGCUCCCCAAAAUUGAAACAUAACAUGCACUUAAUGAGAAAUAAAAUGAAAUAAUACAUACCUUUUUCAUGAGGGUAAAGAUUAUUUUAUAGGUGGGGUUAUUAAAGAUAAUUGAUAUCGAAUCAGUUAGAAGGUUGCACAUCAACAAAUCAUCGUUUGAUUUUAAUCAGUGAAUGAUAGUCUAGUUACGUGAACGAGGCAUGUGUCCCUUUCACUUUAGGUCUUGAAUAAGUCAUAAUAGAUGUGCCUUAUUAAAAGGUUAGAAGGUUGCCCAUCAACAAAUUAUCUUCUUGUUAAAAU